AAAGAAUGGCUCAAAAAGUGAAACAGAUUAGAAGAAUUUAAGAGAACUCAAAAACAAGAAAUUUUAGAUAAUUACUGGCCUCAAACUACAGUAGGUGUCUAGACAACCUAGUACUCGAAUGACUUGCAAUAGACUAAUGAAAAUCCUUUUGUACCACUAUCAACCUCUUUGAAACACCAUCUUAUAGAAAAUUUGACCACAAACACACCAUAUGAAGGUUCAUGCAGAACUUUAUACACAAGAUGGUAUCUUCUUACCAAACCUCAAGUAUUUAAACAAUGAGACUCGUGAAGUAUCAAAAACCCACUUUGCAACAGGGAUGCCAAAACUUCAACAGUAAACAAAAGAACCUGUAAAAGGUCCCAACUUACAACCAACAAAUCAUAGAAGUGACAUUUUUCAAAAGCAAAUAAUAUAUGUGAGUGCAAUAAGAGUUUAUUAAAGUAUGCAAUUCUUACUUCUAGACAUGAGGGUACUACUUACUUAUUCAUGUAGUAACAAGGUGCA
rnacentral:misc_RNA from 1 species